UGCAGGGUAUAGACCCGAAACCCGGUGAUCUAGCCAUGGGCAGGUUGAAGGUUGGGUAACACUAACUGGAGGACCGAACCGACUAAUGUUGAAAAAUUAGCGGAUGACUUGUGGCUGGGGGUGAAAGGCCAAUCAAACCGGGAGAUAGCUGGUUCUCCCCGAAAGCUAUUUAGGUAGCGCCUCGUGAAUUCAUCUCCGGGGGUAGAGCACUGUUUCGGCAAGGGGGUCAUCCCGACUUACCAACCCGAUGCAAACUGCGAAUACCGGAGAAUGUUAUCACGGGAGACACACGGCGGGUGCUAACGUCCGUCGUGAAGAGGGAAACAACCCAGACCGCCAGCUAAGGUCCCAAAGUCAUGGUUAAGUGGGAAACGAUGUGGGAAGGCCCAGACAGCCAGGAUGUUGGCUUAGAAGCAGCCAUCAUUUAAAGAAAGCGUAAUAGCUCACUGGUCGAGUCGGCCUGCGCGGAAGAUGUAACGGGGCUAAACCAUGCACCGAAGCUGCGGCAGCGACGCUGAUGCGUUGUUGGGUAGGGGAGCGUUCUGUAAGCCUGUGAAGGUGUGCUGUGAGGCAUGCUGGAGGUAUCAGAAGUGCGAAUGCUGACAUAAGUAACGAUAAAGCGGGUGAAAAGCCCGCUCGCCGGAAGACCAAGGGUUCCUGUCCAACGUUAAUCGGGGCAGGGUGAGUCGACCCCUAAGGCGAGGCCGAAAGGCGUAGUCGAUGGGAAACAGGUUAAUAUUCCUGUACUUGGUGUUACUGCGAAGGGGGGACGGAGAAGGCUAUGUUGGCCGGGCGACGGUUGUCCCGGUUUAAGCGUGUAGGCUGGUUUUCCAGGCAAAUCCGGAAAAUCAAGGCUGAGGCGUGAUGACGAGGCACUACGGUGCUGAAGCAACAAAUGCCCUGCUUCCAGGAAAAGCCUCUAAGCAUCAGGUAACAUCAAAUCGUACCCCAAACCGACACAGGUGGUCAGGUAGAGAAUACCAAGGCGCUUGAGAGAACUCGGGUGAAGGAACUAGGCAAAAUGGUGCCGUAACUUCGGGAGAAGGCACGCUGAUAUGUAGGUGAAGUCCCUCGCGGAUGGAGCUGAAAUCAGUCGAAGAUACCAGCUGGCUGCAACUGUUUAUUAAAAACACAGCACUGUGCAAACACGAAAGUGGACGUAUACGGUGUGACGCCUGCCCGGUGCCGGAAGGUUAAUUGAUGGGGUCAGCGCAAGCGAAGCUCUUGAUCGAAGCCCCGGUAAACGGCGGCCGUAACUAUAACGGUCCUAAGGUAGCGAAAUUCCUUGUCGGGUAAGUUCCGACCUGCACGAAUGGCGUAAUGAUGGCCAGGCUGUCUCCACCCGAGACUCAGUGAAAUUGAACUCGCUGUGAAGAUGCAGUGUACCCGCGGCAAGACGGAAAGACCCCGUGAACCUUUACUAUAGCUUGACACUGAACAUUGAGCCUUGAUGUGUAGGAUAGGUGGGAGGCUUUGAAGUGUGGACGCCAGUCUGCAUGGAGCCGACCUUGAAAUACCACCCUU
rnacentral:rRNA from 1 species